UACGGAGGGUGCGAGCGUUAAUCGGAAUUACUGGGCGUAAAGCGUGCGCAGGCGGCCCGUUAAGACAGGUGUGAAAUCCCUGGGCUCAACCUAGGAAUUGCGCUUGUGACUGGCGGGCUCGAGUACGGUAGAGGGGGGUAGAAUUCCAGGUGUAGCGGUGAAAUGCGUAGAGAUCAGGAGGAACACCGAUGGCGAAGGCAGCCCCCUGGGCCUGUACUGACGCUCAUGCACGAAAGCGUGGGGAGCAAACAGG
rnacentral:rRNA from 1 species